rnacentral:SRP_RNA from 13 species
GCCGGGUGCAGUGGCAUGUGCCUGUAAUCCAAGUCACUGGGAGGCUGAGGUUGGUGGAUCUAGUGAGCUGAGGAGCUCUGGGCUGCAGCACGCUAUGUCGAACGGGUGUCCACGCUAAGUUCGGUAUCGAUAUGGUGUUCCUGGGGGAGCCUGGGACCACCAGGUUGUCUAAGGAGGGGUGAACCGGCCCAGGUCGGAAACGAAGCAGGUCAAAUCCCCCGUGCUGUCCAGUAGUGGGAUAAUACCUGUGAGUAGAUGCUGCAGUGCAGCCUUGGCAAAACAUCGAGACCUAAUCUUUU